GAUGAAGGACGCAGCGAAAUGCGAUAAGUAAUGUGAAUUGCAGAAUUCAGUGAAUCAUCGAAUCUUUGAACGCACCUUGCGCUCCUUGGUAUUCCGAGGAGCAUGCCUGUUUGAGUGUCAUUAAAUUCUCAACCUUAUUGGCUUUUGCUGAUAAUGGCUUGGACUUGGGGGUCUUUUUGCUGGCUUUCAUUAGUCUGCUCCCCUUAAAUGUAUUAGCCGGUGCCCCGCAGUGGAACCGUCUAUUGGUGUGAUAAUUAUCUACGCCGUGGACGUCUGCUAUAAUGGGUUUGCGCUGCUUCUAACCGUCUCUCGGGACAACACAAAUGACAAUUUGACCUCAAAUCAGGUAGGACUACCCGCUGAACUUAAGCAUAUCAAUAAGCGGAGGA
rnacentral:misc_RNA from 1 species